rnacentral:rRNA from 1 species
UACGUAGGGUGCAAGCGUUGUCCGGAAUUAUUGGGCGUAAAGAGCUCGUAGGCGGUUUGUUGCGUCGGCUGUGAAAUCCCGAGGCUCAACCUCGGGUCUGCAGUCGAUACGAGCAAACUAGAGUGUUGCAGGGGAGACUGGAAUUCCUGGUGUAGCGGUGAAAUGCGCAGAUAUCAGGAGGAACACCGGUGGCGAAGGCGGGUCGCUGGGACGGUACUGACGCUGAGGCGCGAAAGCGUGGGGAGCAAACAGG